CCCUUGUUUUGGCCAAACUGCUUUCAAAUUAUAUUAUGGGGUCGGCUGCAAAUGUGGAAUGUUGACCAAGAGAUUAGUCGGAAUUGUCGUCCAAGUCACUCUGCGGCACCGACAAGAUGUAAACAUUUCUCCGAAAGGUAAAGAGGGGGAAUACAUGAAAGACAGGAGCGAAGCAUAACACAUAUUAGACAGUAGUAGAGUAUCUGCCAUGAACGAAUGAGUAAUAGAGCCCCCAAAUCAGCAGGAGCAAAGCAGAAGCCAUGGAAGCCACAGAAUACAAGGUAUAAAAGGUAGCUAAGUUGGGUUUAUGAGGAAUCAAAAGAGCACCCAAAGCACCUAAGAAUGCAAAGGUAAUGGACAAAACGAAGGCAUCAAAGGCAGAGGAAGGAUUGGAUAAGCCAUCGAAAAUCAAACCGACCCCCCCUCCCUCACUUCUUCCUGCCAAUAU